AAGAAUGCCCCGUUUUUUGAAAUGGGUUCUAUUCCCAAACCGUGUAUACAUACCUUUGUUGCUUUGGCAGGCCGCCUUCGGGCGUCGGCUCACGCUGACCGCGCCUGCCAGAGGACCCAAACUCGUUUAUUUAGUGAUGUCUGAGUACUAUAUAAUAGUUAA
rnacentral:misc_RNA from 1 species